rnacentral:rRNA from 1 species
GAUGAACGCUGGCGGCAUGCCUAAUACAUGCAAGUCGAGCGAACGGACGAGAAGCUUGCUUCUCUGAUGUUAGCGGCGGACGGGUGAGUAACACGUGGAUAACCUACCUAUAAGACUGGGAUAACUUCGGGAAACCGGAGCUAAUACCGGAUAAUAUUUUGAACCGCAUGGUUCAAAAGUGAAAGACGGUCUUGCUGUCACUUAUAGAUGGAUCCGCGCUGCAUUAGCUAGUUGGUAAGGUAACGGCUUACCAAGGCAACGAUGCAUAGCCGACCUGAGAGGGUGAUCGGCCACACUGGAACUGAGACACGGUCCAGACUCCUACGGGAGGCAGCAGUAGGGAAUCUUCCGCAAUGGGCGAAAGCCUGACGGAGCAACGCCGCGUGAGUGAUGAAGGUCUUCGGAUCGUAAAACUCUGUUAUUAGGGAAGAACAUAUGUGUAAGUAACUGUGCACAUCUUGACGGUACCUAAUCAGAAAGCCACGGCUAACUACGUGCCAGCAGCCGCGGUAAUACGUAGGUGGCAAGCGUUAUCCGGAAUUAUUGGGCGUAAAGCGCGCGUAGGCGGUUUUUUAAGUCUGAUGUGAAAGCCCACGGCUCAACCGUGGAGGGUCAUUGGAAACUGGAAAACUUGAGUGCAGAAGAGGAAAGUGGAAUUCCAUGUGUAGCGGUGAAAUGCGCAGAGAUAUGGAGGAACACCAGUGGCGAAGGCGACUUUCUGGUCUGUAACUGACGCUGAUGUGCGAAAGCGUGGGGAUCAAACAGGAUUAGAUACCCUGGUAGUCCACGCCGUAAACGAUGAGUGCUAAGUGUUAGGGGGUUUCCGCCCCUUAGUGCUGCAGCUAACGCAUUAAGCACUCCGCCUGGGGAGUACGACCGCAAGGUUGAAACUCAAAGGAAUUGACGGGGACCCGCACAAGCGGUGGAGCAUGUGGUUUAAUUCGAAGCAACGCGAAGAACCUUACCAAAUCUUGACAUCCUUUGACAACUCUAGAGAUAGAGCCUUCUCCUUCGGGGGACAAAGUGACAGGUGGUGCAUGGUUGUCGUCAGCUCGUGUCGUGAGAUGUUGGGUUAAGUCCCGCAACGAGCGCAACCCUUAAGCUUAGUUGCCAUCAUUAAGUUGGGCACUCUAAGUUGACUGCCGGUGACAAACCGGAGGAAGGUGGGGAUGACGUCAAAUCAUCAUGCCCCUUAUGAUUUGGGCUACACACGUGCUACAAUGGACAAUACAAAGGGCAGCGAAACCGCGAGGUCAAGCAAAUCCCAUAAAGUUGUUCUCAGUUCGGAUUGUAGUCUGCAACUCGACUACAUGAAGCUGGAAUCGCUAGUAAUCGUAGAUCAGCAUGCUACGGUGAAUACGUUCCCGGGUCU